rnacentral:misc_RNA from 1 species
AAGUCGUAACAAGGUUUCCGUAGGUGAACCUGCGGAAGGAUCAUUAACACGUGAUUUUCUCACGUAUAAUCCAACAAGAACUGUAGGCCCUGUUAUCGGGGAGGGUAACUAACGGACGAGGGGUGGCGCCUGAGAUUACUCGGCUUGCCCGUUAGUUGGGAGUGCACUUCGCCUGACACUCUGCCCAGUACGAUAGCAGCGAAAGGAUUUCUGAUUGCUAACGCCUGCUCCCUUGGCAUAGGUCAGAAACCGUUUUAUUUUACUUUUACCCAUUCUUUUUCUUUGCUAAUUUUCUGGUGCAGUCUCUCGAAUUCCUGGCUUUUUGGCUGGUCGAGUUUGACGACGAUUGUCACAAAGUAUUAAUUCGAAACAACUCGUAGCAACGGAUAUCUUGGUUCUC